GGAUGAACGCUGGCGGCGUGCUUAACACAUGCAAGUCGAACGAUGAUCCUCGCUUGCGGGGGGAUUAGUGGCGAACGGGUGAGUAACACGUGAGUAACCUGCCCUUGACUCUGGGAUAAGCCUGGGAAACUGGGUCUAAUACUGGAUACGACCGCUCCACGCAUGUGGUGGUGGUGGAAAGCUUUUUUGUGGUUUUGGAUGGACUCGCGGCCUAUCAGCUUGUUGGUGAGGUAAUGGCUCACCAAGGCGACGACGGGUAGCCGGCCUGAGAGGGUGACCGGCCACACUGGGACUGAGACACGGCCCAGACUCCUACGGGAGGCAGCAGUGGGGAAUAUUGCACAAUGGGCGAAAGCCUGAUGCAGCGACGCCGCGUGAGGGAUGACGGCCUUCGGGUUGUAAACCUCUUUCAGUAGGGAAGAAGCGUAAGUGACGGUACCUGCAGAAGAAGCGCCGGCUAACUACGUGCCAGCAGCCGCGGUAAUACGUAGGGCGCAAGCGUUAUCCGGAAUUAUUGGGCGUAAAGAGCUCGUAGGCGGUUUGUCGCGUCUGCUGUGAAAGGCCCAGGGCUCAACCCUGGUUCUGCAGUGGGUACGGGCAGACUUGAGUGGUGUAGGGGAGACUGGAAUUCCUGGUGUAGCGGUGAAAUGCGCAGAUAUCAGGAGGAACACCGAUGGCGAAGGCAGGUCUCUGGGCAUUAACUGACGCUGAGGAGCGAAAGCAUGGGGAGCGAACAGGAUUAGAUACCCUGGUAGUCCAUGCCGUAAACGUUGGGCACUAGGUGUGGGGGACAUUCCACGUUUUCCGCGCCGUAGCUAACGCAUUAAGUGCCCCGCCUGGGGAGUACGGCCGCAAGGCUAAAACUCAAAGGAAUUGACGGGGGCCCGCACAAGCGGCGGAGCAUGCGGAUUAAUUCGAUGCAACGCGAAGAACCUUACCAAGGCUUGACAUGGACUAGUAAAGCGCAGAGAUGCGCUCCCCUCUUGAGGCUGGUUCACAGGUGGUGCAUGGUUGUCGUCAGCUCGUGUCGUGAGAUGUUGGGUUAAGUCCCGCAACGAGCGCAACCCUCGUUCCAUGUUGCCAGCGCGUAAUGGCGGGGACUCAUGGGAGACUGCCGGGGUCAACUCGGAGGAAGGUGGGGACGACGUCAAAUCAUCAUGCCCCUUAUGUCUUGGGCUUCACGCAUGCUACAAUGGCCGGUACAAAGGGUUGCGAUACUGUGAGGUGGAGCUAAUCCCAAAAAGCCGGUCUCAGUUCGGAUUGGGGUCUGCAACUCGACCCCAUGAAGUUGGAGUCGCUAGUAAUCGCAGAUCAGCAACGCUGCGGUGAAUACGUUCCCGGGCCUUGUACACACCGCC
rnacentral:rRNA from 1 species